CUUUCUUUCCCUCCUCCCCGUGCCUUCCCAUCCUCUUCCCAGCAGCCCCAGCGCCGGCGGUCCUCAAGAUGGCGGCUGACAGUGAGCCCGAGUCCGAGGUGUUUGAGCUCACGGACUUCACCACUGCCUCCGAGUGGGAAAGGUUUAUUUCCAGAGUUGAAGAAAUCUUGAAUGACUGGAAACUGAUUGGAAACUCUCUGGGAAAGCCACUUGAAAAGGUCAGAUCUAUUUGCUGGUGUCUCUAAAUGAGUAUUUAUUUUGAAAUUUCUAAACUUUGCUGCAUUUGGUACAUUUGAAUUAAUUUUUUUAAAGUUAUGUAUAAUCUGUAAACAUAAAAUGGUAUCUGGAAGAAUUUGGAUAUGUGGCACAUAAUACAUGUAAGGCUUUUGUGAACUGUCUUUCAAAUAAAAUUUUAUAAUUACA